rnacentral:lncRNA from 1 species
AAACGUUAGCGGUCCCUCAAACCUGAUUGGUCAAUGGAAAGGUCCCAAGGAAGACUGAAGCAUCUGAGAGCAGGUCAGGCUUCACCUUGAGCUAUAUGUACCUCAGCCCAAUCCAUCUAACUGAAUGCACAGCUGUCCCCAAACCCAUGGGACCAACAUCUGCCACCGGAUAUAAGGAAAAUGUACCCCCAAAGACUGUGGCUGUCCUGAGGCCAGAGCUGAAGAGACCCUGGAGAAACCUGGACAUCAGCUUGGGUAGCAGAGGAGACCAGAAGAUGCCCAUGUGCCAGGUCACCACACACGCCCAAGGCCCAGUGCUAUGCCAGAAGCCCUGCCAAGUCCAAAGUAACUUGACCUGUCCAUGUCCCCACCUGGCCCUUGCCCUGAAGGACACAGCUGGCCGACUAGGUGACACAGGGCUGCAGCAGCAGAGUAACCUACACCUGCCAGUAGGGAGGUCCCAGGGGAGGAUCCGAGAGCCAUUUGUACAGCAGAGUAACCUGUGCUUCCGAGGAACCGCUAGCCCCCAUCUGCAGAACAGCUGCCUGCCACCAACUGGCCCAUCCUCCCACCAGAAGCAGACAUUUCAGGUCACAGGCU